rfam:Brachypodium distachyon strain Bd21 chromosome 1, whole genome shotgun sequence.
CGGCAGUGAGGAGAAAUUGAAAGGCCGGUCUUACGGCUGCCUCCCGGACCGGACGGAUCGACAUCGUUCAUUCCGGGAUUGGUAGUAGCUUGAUGUGAUAUUGAUUCGGCGAAAGGUUUUUCUCUGAGCCAU